rnacentral:sRNA from 1 species
GGAGGCGGCGACGCCCCCCCGACUUGAGGUUGACCACAGUCAACCUGCCGUCUCCGCACCCCCUUACUGAAAGGGCGGGCCGCGUCCCCUCGGUCCGCCC